UCGCUCAGGUCUCCCAGCAUCGACGAAUAUGCGUUUCGCCUUUUACUAAACGCAUCCGUGCUGGGGGACACUUAUGAGGCGACGUGUUUAACUUGUUGUAGACCGUGUGAUCGAUGCACUGU
rnacentral:snRNA from 1 species